GCUCGUGUAGCUCAGGGGUAGAGCGCAUCCUUGGUAAGGAUGAGGUCGACGGUUCAAUUCCGUCCACGAGCUCCA
rnacentral:tRNA from 1 species